rnacentral:rRNA from 1 species
GCGUGCUUAACACAUGCAAGUCGAACGCGAAAGGGACUUCGGUCCUGAGUAAAGUGGCGCACGGGUGAGUAACGCGUGGAUAACCUGUCUUUAUGUCUGGAAUAAUACGCCGAAAGGGGUACUAAUACCGGAUACUCUUGCUUUAUAUAAGUUUUGCAAGCAAAGGUGGCCUCUGACAUAAGCUACUGCAUAAAGAGGGGUCUGCGUACCAUUAGCUUGUAGGUGGGGUAAUGGCCUACCUAGGCAACGAUGGUUAGCGGGUCUGAGAGGAUGAUCCGCCACACUGGCACUGGAACACGGGCCAGACUCCUACGGGAGGCAGCAGUGAGGAAUAUUGCGCAAUGGGGGCAACCCUGACGCAGCGACGCCGCGUGAGUGAGGAAGGCCUUCGGGUCGUAAAGCUCUGUCAAAGGGAAAGAAAUGUAUAAUGGCUAAUACCUGUUAUAUUUGACGGUACCCUUAAAGGAAGCACCGGCUAACUCCGUGCCAGCAGCCGCGGUAAUACGGAGGG